CAUAUUCACCUGCCUUGAACUCUCACUCAAAAUGAAUAGUAUAGAACACACACACACAGAGACACAGAGAUACAUUAGCAGGCGUGUGUAUUAAAUUCAUAAAAUGUAAAAUCCAACUGGCAUUCAACCGAACAGAUCAUUUGAAAGUAAAACGAAAAGGCUCCAAAACGAUUUUCAACAAGCAAAAAAGAUUAAAUUUUAUAAAAAAAAGGAUUACAAUGCCUGAAGUACCGAAACCAACUGUGAAUAAGUCCAAAGACUUGACAGAAGAUGCCAAAGUUGGUAAGAGAAUUAUGAAACCCUUACCGGUAAUACGUCCACAAUUGGCCAAUCAACACGACCGGAUUUGGAAACUCAUGAAAAUGUAGACAAGGGCAAUCCAUUACAAAAUUCUUUGGUAAGGCUUUUUUGCCUUCAUUUCCAUUGAGUUAAAAAUGUCUUCCGACUCCAGGUCUUCUUUUUUUUUGCCACGGCCAAUAAACACAUCGCCUUAUCAAGUUGAA